rnacentral:rRNA from 1 species
GAGGGGCAGCGAGUAGAUUGCUUGCAAUCUACGUCGGCGACCGGCGCACGGGUGCGUAACGCGUAUGCAACCUACCCAUUACAGGGGGAUAACACUGAGAAAUCGGUACUAAUACCCCAUAACAUCCAGGGAGGCAUCUUCUUGGGUUGAAAACUCCGGUGGUAAUGGAUGGGCAUGCGUUGUAUUAGUUAGUUGGUGGGGUAACGGCUCACCAAGACGACGAUACAUAGGGGGACUGAGAGGUUAACCCCCCACAUUGGUACUGAGACACGGACCAAACUCCUACGGGAGGCAGCAGUGAGGAAUAUUGGUCAAUGGACGCAAGUCUGAACCAGCCAUGCCGCGUGCAGGAAGACGGCUCUAUGAGUUGUAAACUGCUUUUGUACGAGGGUAAACGCAGAUACGUGUAUCUGUCUGAAAGUAUCGUACGAAUAAGGAUCGGCUAACUCCGUGCCAGCAGCCGCGGUAAUACGGAGGAUUCAAGCGUUAUCCGGAUUUA